rnacentral:rRNA from 1 species
UCUUGGCGGGGUGCUUACACAUGCAGUCGAACGGUGAAGCAGAGCUUGCUCUGUGGAUCAGUGGCGAACGGGUGAGUAACACGUGAGCAACCUGCCCCUGACUCUGGGAUAAGCGCUGGAAACGGCGUCUAAUACUGGAUAUGAGCUGCGAUCGCAUGGUCAGCAGUUGGAAAGAUUUUUCGGUCUGGGAUGGGCUCACGGCCUAUCAGCUUGUUGGUGAGGUAAUGGCUCACCAAGGCGUCGACGGGUAGCCGGCCUGAGAGGGUGACCGGCCACACUGGGACUGAGACACGGCCCAGACUCCUACGGGAGGCAGCAGUGGGGAAUAUUGCACAAUGGGCGAAAGCCUGAUGCAGCAACGCCGCGUGAGGGAUGACGGCCUUCGGGUUGUAAACCUCUUUUAGCAGGGAAGAAGCGAAAGUGACGGUACCUGCAGAAAAAGCGCCGGCUAACUACGUGCCAGCAGCCGCGGUAAUACGUAGGGCGCAAGCGUUAUCCGGAAUUAUUGGGCGUAAAGAGCUCGUAGGCGGUUUGUCGCGUCUGCUGUGAAAUCCCGAGGCUCAACCUCGGGUCUGCAGUGGGUACGGGCAGACUAGAGUGCGGUAGGGGAGAUUGGAAUUCCUGGUGUAGCGGUGGAAUGCGCAGAUAUCAGGAGGAACACCGAUGGCGAAGGCAGAUCUCUGGGCCGUUACUGACGCUGAGGAGCGAAAGGGUGGGGAGCAAACAGGCUUAGAUACCCUGGUAGUCCACCCCGUAAACGUUGGGAACUAGUUGUGGGGUCCAUUCCACGGAUUCCGUGACGCAGCUAACGCAUUAAGUUCCCCGCCUGGGGAGUACGGCCGCAAGGCUAAAACUCAAAGGAAUUGACGGGGACCCGCACAAGCGGCGGAGCAUGCGGAUUAAUUCGAUGCAACGCGAAGAACCUUACCAAGGCUUGACAUAUACGAGAACGGGCCAGAAAUGGUCAACUCUUUGGACACUCGUAAACAGGUGGUGCAUG